ensembl:processed_transcript 1700007J10Rik RIKEN cDNA 1700007J10 gene
CUCUCAAAUCAGGCAGCUUGGAAGAUUUGAGCAUUAACUGCUGCUCCCAAGCAAAAGGCUCUACUUUCAGUUUCCGGGAAACUGACUACAUUUUUAAAUUUCUUUGAUUGCAUGUUUUAAAUGACUUCCAGUUGGGGGCUUCGUGGGCCCAGUUCCACCAGGGGACACGCAGCCCAGCCUACCUGUGGGGUAGGUGGCUCUACUUUCCGUUUCUUCUUCUGGUUCUGCUUGUUGGUUCGAGGAUACACCAUGAGCAUCUCUAACCACCUGGGAAGACAGGAUGAGAAAUAGUACCAGGAAGCCUGGAUCUCAGAACUGCUCCAUGUCAGCUGAUAUUUCCGUCAGAUACUCGAGGUUCUGUGCGUGAAGGGAGUGACUCCUACAAGUUCACUAGAAUCCUAGAUCAAGAUUAUCUUCCCACAAGGACCUCAGAAACAAGUGUUCUUCAUUCACCCCAUGGACAAGACAUCAUAUCUCUGAGACAGAAAACUAAGGCUAUGAGCAUUGAGAGAACUGAGUGAGAGAAGCUUUGCAGACAGCCAGUAGUGACCAGAUGAAAGGAACUGCAAAGGAUGCCUCUUCUUCUCUACUGCUGCAACUCCACCCCAGUCCUUGGGAUUAAAACACUGACAACAAUGGC